rnacentral:rRNA from 1 species
AUUGAACGCUGGCGGCAUGCCUUACACAUGCAAGUCGAACGGCAGCAUGAUCUAGCUUGCUAGAUUGAUGGCGAGUGGCGAACGGGUGAGUAAUACAUCGGAACGUGCCCUGUAGUGGGGGAUAACUAGUCGAAAGAUUAGCUAAUACCGCAUACGACCUGAGGGUGAAAGUGGGGGACCGCAAGGCCUCAUGCUAUAGGAGCGGCCGAUGUCUGAUUAGCUAGUUGGUGAGGUAAAGGCUCACCAAGGCGACGAUCAGUAGCUGGUCUGAGAGGACGAUCAGCCACACUAGGACUGAGACACGGCCCAGACUCCUACGGGAGGCAGCAGUGGGGAAUUUUGGACAAUGGGCGAAAGCCUGAUCCAGCAAUGCCGCGUGUGUGAAGAAGGCCUUCGGGUUGUAAAGCACUUUUGUCCGGAAAGAAAUGGCUCUGGUUAAUACCUGGGGUCGAUGACGGUACCGGAAGAAUAAGGACCAGCUAACUACGUG